GGUGGGAAGGAGCCCUGGUCAGA
rnacentral:piRNA from 1 species